CGCAUAUUGCGCCUUUUGGUAUUCCAAAAGGCAUGCCUGUUUGAGCGUCAGUACUCACUCACAAGUGAUUCACUUGUCUCAAAGUGAAUGAUUUUGUGGUCUUGAGCUGUGAUGGUUACAUUAAAAGUGCCGUCUAGUUUGAAAUACAUGUCUAACAAGGACUCGUGCCUGUGAAAGAUAGUGUGAAAGGUAACACCAACUCGCUACUAACACAAAAAGGAACAGUCUAGACAAUUGCUAGUUGUUUGUAUAUUUAACGUACGCAAACACGAACUUUUGACCUCAAAUCAGGUAAGGAUACCCGCUGAACUUAA
rnacentral:misc_RNA from 1 species